GGAGUUAGCCGGUGCUUCUUCUGCGAGUAACGUCACAGAUGUAAGGUAUUAACUUACACCCUUUCCUCCUCGCUGAAAGUGCUUUACAACCCGAAGGCCUUCUUCACACACGCGGCAUGGCUGCAUCAGGGUUUCCCCCAUUGUGCAAUAUUCCCCACUGCUGCCUCCCGUAGGAGUCUGGGCCGUGUCUCAGUCCCAGUGUGGCUGAUCAUCCUCUCAGACCAGCUAGGGAUCGUCGCCUAGGUGAGCCUUUACCUCACCUACUAGCUAAUCCCACCUGGGCUUAUCCAUCAGCGCAAGGCCCGAAGGUCCCCUGCUUUCCCCCGUAGGGCGUAUGCGGUAUUAGCAGUCGUUUCCAACUGUUAUCCCCCACAAAUGGGCAAAUUCCCAGGCAUUACUCACCCGUCCGCCGCUCGUCAUCUUCAAAAGCAAGCUUUUGAAAUGUUACCGCUCGACUUGCAUGUGUUAGGCCUGCCGCCAGCGUUCAAUCUGAGCCAGAAUCAAACUCUGA
rnacentral:rRNA from 1 species